rnacentral:tRNA from 1 species
GCCUGGGUGGCGAAAUUGGUAGACGCAGGGGACUUAAAAUCCCCCGGGAAUUAAAUCCUAUGCCGGUUCAAAUCCGGCUCCGGGCAC